rnacentral:rRNA from 1 species
AUGCACGCGUUGGUGGCUCGGUUGGUGAUUGAAAUGAAUGAGCAACCUUUGAGGAUCAUGGUGUGGAAUGUCCGAGGGCUAAAUGCACCUGCUCGUCGGAAUGCGGUCUUCCAGGUGGUCAAUCAGGCUUGUCCUGCCAUUGUGUGUCUCCAAGAAACUAAGUUGCAUGUUGUGUCGCUAAACAUUGUACGACAAUGCCUCGGUGCUAAGUUUGAGAAGUUUUUCUAUUUGCCUGCGUCCGGCACGCGUGGUGGGAUCUUGGUGGCCUGGGAUGCCACGAUGACUCAACUCUCUAACCCACACUAUACCAACCACACAUUAACUGUGCUUGUUAAAUGCCCUGAGGACGACCUGCCCUGGUGGCUCACAUGUGUUUAUGGGCCACAAGAGGAGGAGGAUAAUGUAGAGUUCCUUUAG